rnacentral:rRNA from 1 species
CCUACGGGAGGCUGCAGUAGGGAAUCUUCCGCAAUGGGCGAAAGCCUGACGCAGCAACGCCGCGUGAGUGAUGAAGGUCUUCGGGUCGUUAAACUCUGUUAUUAGGUAAGAACAUACGUCUACGUAACUAUGCACGUCUUGACGGUACCUAAUCAGAAAGCCACGGCUUCCUACGUGCCACCAGCCGCGGUAAUACGGAGGGGGCAAGCGUUAUCCGGAAUUGUUGGGCGUAAAGCGGGCGUGGGCGUGUCGUUAAGUCUGAUGGGAAAGCCCACGGCUCAACCGUGGAGGGGCAUUUGAAACUGGAAGACUUGAGUGCAGAAGAGGAAAGUGGAAUGCCAGGUGUAGCGGUGAAAUGCGCAGAGAUAUGGAGGAACACCAGUGGCGAAGGCGACUUUCUGGUCUGUAACUGACGCUGAUGUGCGAAAGCGUGGGGAUCAAACAGGAUUAGAUACCCGGGUAGUC